AAAGUCCCGGUCGGGUAAGGGCUAGCCACCCACCCGUAUCGCGUGUUGCGCCUCUGGCGGAUAGCGACGCACUGGUCAGGAGACUGGUGCUAUCGUGAACAAAAGAGGUGAAGCGUACAUAGAGAAACUUGUAGGCCAGAGGGGUGUACGCACCACCCUGAAGCGAUUUCAGCCUCGUUAAAAGCAUUAAAGCAGACGGCGACAGGGUUAACGACCUGGAAGCCAACACAGAGGACUCAAUAGAACGACGAUGGGCAAGAUAUUGUGGCACUGCCGGGAAACCA
rfam:Thiorhodovibrio sp. 970 genomic scaffold Thi970scaffold_6, whole genome shotgun sequence.